rnacentral:rRNA from 1 species
UACAGAGGUGGCAAGCGUUGUUCGGAAUUACUGGGCGUAAAGGGCGCGUAGGCGGCCAUCUAGGUCAGACGUGAAAUCCCCCGGCUUAACCUGGGAACUGCGUCUGAUACUGGACGGCUUGAGUUUGGGAGAGGGAUGCAGAAUUCCAGGUGUAGCGGUGAAAUGCGUAGAUAUCUGGAGGAAUACCGGUGGCGAAGGCGGCACCCUGGACCAACACUGACGCUGAGGCGCGAAAGCUAGGGGAGCAAACGGG